rnacentral:rRNA from 1 species
AGAGUUUGAUUAUGGCUCAGGAUGAACGCUAGCGGCAGGCUUAACACAUGCAAGUCGGGCGGCAGCGGGGUGGGAGCUUGCUCCCACUGCCGGCGAGCGGCGCACGGGUGAGUAACACGUAUGCAACCUGCCCCUGUCAGGGGGACAACCCGCCGAAAGGCGGGCUAAGCCCGCGUAUAUCGCCCCGGGGCAUCCCGGGGGGAGGAAAGGAGCGAUCCGGACAGGGAUGGGCAUGCGGCGCAUUAGCUGGUCGGCGGGGUAACGGCCCACCGAGGCGACGAUGCGUAGGGGUUCUGAGAGGAAGGCCCCCCACACUGGUACUGAGACACGGACCAGACUCCUACGGGAGGCAGCAGUGAGGAAUAUCCCCCAAUGGGCGGGAGCCUGAACCAGCCAAGCCGCGUGAGGGAAGAAAGUACAGCGUAUCGUAAACCUCUUUUGUCAGGGAACAA